UAGGGAAUCUUCCGCAAUGGGCGAAAGCCUGACGGAGCAACGCCGCGUGAGUGAUGAAGGUCUUCGGAUCGUAAAACUCUGUUAUUAGGGAAUAACAAAUGUGUAAGUAACUAUGCACGUCUUGACGGUACCUAAUCAGAAAGCCACGGCUAACUACGUGCCAGCAGCCGCGGUAAUACGUAGGUGGCAAGCGUUAUCCGGAAUUAUUGGGCGUAAAGCGCGCGUAGGCGGUUUUUUAAGUCUGAUGUGAAAGCCCACGGCUCAACCGUGGAGGGUCAAUGGAAACUGGAAAACUUGAGUGCAGAAGAGGAAAGUGGAAUUCCAUGUGUAGCGGUGAAAUGCGCAGAGAUAUGGAGGAACACCAGUGGCGAAGGCGACUUUCUGGUCUGUAACUGACACUGAUGUGAGAAAGCGUGGGGAUCAAACAGG
rnacentral:rRNA from 1 species